rnacentral:rRNA from 1 species
GAUGAACGCUGGCGGCGUGCCUAAUACAUGCGAGUCGAGCGAACGGACGAGAAGCUUGCUUCUCUGAUGUUAGCGGCGGACGGGUGAGUAACACGUGGAUAACCUACCUAUAAGACUGGGAUAACUUCGGGAAACCGGAGCUAAUACCGGAUGAUAUUUUGAACCGCAUGGUUCAAAAGUGAAAGACGGUCUUGCUGUCACUUAUAGAUGGAUCCGCGCUGCAUUAGCUAGUUGGUAAGGUAACGGCUUACCAAGGCAACGAUGCAUAGCCGACCUGAGAGGGGGAUCGGCCACACUGGAACUGAGACACGGUCCAGACUCCUACGGGAGGAAGCAGUAGGGAAUCUUCCGCAAUGGGCGAAAGCCUGACGGAGCAACGCCGCGGGAGUGAUGAAGGUCUUCGGAUCGUAAAACUCUGUUAUUAGGGAAGAACAUAUGUGUAAGUAACUGUGCACAUCUUGACGGUACCUAAUCAGAAAGCCACGGCUAACUACGU